UUUAAUUGUAUGUUCUGAUUAUCGAAAGUUGGGACCAGGGGAGUACCACAGCUGACAUCGCUGGUUGUUACCCCCAUCAGGUCGUCAAGCAAUAUUCAUACUAAAAACACUAACACACAAAAUACUGUACUAUAAAAUACUAGCUACUACUAAAUACUAGAUUUUAUAAUGUUGCAAAUUCCCUCUUGCUCCCUGAGCAAACAUCCUCUUCGCAUUUUCUCUGUUCACAAUGUCGUGCAUGCGCUAAAGAAAUCGGAAGUUUGCAUAAAAACGGACAGACGGACAAGUAGUUGAACAUGACUAGACUGACUGUUCUAUGAUGCUGAUUAAGAAUGUACAUAUUUUCUUUAUCGUCGCGGUAAAGUGUCCUUCGUUGCCUUAAAGGGAAAUUAUAAAAAAAAAUCGAUCUAAUUAACAUGUCAACAUCAGGAAAUUAUUAAAAUUGCUUGAGAAGAACAUUAACUUUAAGUUUUAGGCAAAGAUUCUAUUUUAUAAGAUUGGAACUUUAAAGUUGAUGGGUUAGGUAGACCACCUAGCAACUAGAUCCCUAUCCUUUAAGCGCCACCUCUGUAUCAUCUCCUUGGAUUUUUCCAAUCCAUUCGACAAAAUAACUCUAUGAAUGGAAAGUAGGCCUCAGAAUCAUAAACUAUGCCACCAACUUCAUGAAAAAUAAAAAAAUUAUUGUCUGUCUCACAUAUACCAAAGACAUUGUUUUCGCCUCAAAAUUGGAAAUACAUCAACGGACUCCAGCUAUACUAUCGAUCAAAGCACUUAGAUCUUAUCAUCGGAGCCGACCUCAUGACGGGACUCAUCGUUCCGGAAACCGGAAUCAGAACACCAGACGAACCUCUUGCACAAAAUUCUCACCUAGGUUGGAUGAUACUUGGCAAUUUCCAGGAUUCAAUCCACACAUUUAAUAUUCGCUGUCAUCAAACCGCCCUGGAUACCGAAUCUCUGUUGUAGAAUUUCUGCGAAUCUGUCCCGAACCGAUGACUUCUUCUUUAAAGAAAUGCACACACGUCAACCAAAGUUUAGUCAGUCAAAGUUUUAUGGAAAUAUAAUUCUAAAGGAAGUGGCAAUGACACAGCUACACUUCGAGAACGACCGCAAUCACUUAUUAGGAUGAAACGACUAAGUGCCCAGUUCCAUCGCUGGCAAAUGGAUAAGGUUUCAUGUCAAUCUGAAGGACAUUAUCAAAAUCCGAAUAACUUGCAGCAUACGGUAUACGCCAGACUUCAGCCACGGUUAUCAGUUGCACGCUUUCUGCGACGGGUCCACCCCCACCGGAUUCAUAAUUUUUCACCACUCUUAUCACUGCAAAAUCCGAAAUCUCUUCAACGAAAUCUCUCACGAUUCCGAUAACCGAGGCGCUGUACUGGCAACAAAACUGACUAAAUGGGUAGAAGCAAACAAUCAUUGGAAAAACGCUCAAAUCUCCGAUACAUACUGGACGGUCGCCAGUACCGUUCUCCACUGGAUCAAAGAAUAUGUUACUAGAUGGAAAACGUUCGUCGCUAAUCGUGUUGCCUACAUUCUGGAGCACAGCGAUCCAAACUAAUAGAGACAUGUUUCCACGACAGACAGUAUUACAGCGGGGUCUAUCCCAAUCAGAAAUCUCCAUCUGUGAUCUCUGGUGGCACAAUCCAUCAUAGUUCAGUCAACACACACAUACAGAAGUACCGAACAUAAAGUUUGAUGAGCAGUCCCUUGCAGCAAAAUCUCUACGGAUUCGUGUUUGCACCCUACACCCAAGUUGACAUUAAUAUCAUUGAGCGGUUUUCGACUUGUACCAAACUUGUUCGAGUCAUAGCAUACAUACUGCGCUUUUGUCACAACGCUCAAUGGAAGAAAACCAGAUCUCACAAUCAGCUGUCGCCUGAGGAACUGGACAAUGCAAAUCGACGAGUCGUAUAAAUAGUGCAAGCCGAAAUUUUUCAAUUUGACAUCUACGCGAUCCUUGGAGAAAAUCAUCUUCCUCCUAAGAGCAUCCUAAGGAAUCUCACUCCUUUUCUCAACGAAGGCAUUUAACCCGGUCGCGGUCGUCUUAAACAUUCCAAGCAUUCAAUCAUCUGACCGCAGCGUAAUUUUUUACAGAGCUGAUAGUCAGCUCAGUCGUUUAACUACUCUUACUAUAACAGCCGUAUAGAGCAUUUUCGGCACGGCGCCACAACUGAACAAACAUAAAAAUCAGAUCAAAAAAAUUACAUAAUUUGGUCUAUUAUUCCAAAAUUUAAGUGUCCUGCCGUGUUAUUCGGUAAUCGGUAUAAUCGAUAUAAACAUAAGUUGAUAACGUCUGACUGAAAACGUGGUAUUUGAGACAGUUUGGCAAUAAGAUGCUGGUAAUUUUUAUUGUUCUGCAACAAUACAAUUUAUUGUAAAAUGUUGGAAAGAAAAAUAUAUAAAGUUUACUUACUCUUCAAUAUUGCAGAGGAUCACGAUUUCUUUCCGAAUUCAUCUAAGAAGAGUAAAGGAUAUACUAAUUCGUCGCCCUUCCCCAUAUAUGAAAUCCGAGCCAGUAAAAAAUAUACUUAAUUAUUUUAAAAUCUCAACAGGAUAUGUUGAGCAUUUAUAAACUGUUCAAGUUUUGCAAUUAAAACUGUUCCGUCUCAUUUUUCCAACA